GCACUGUAUGGUCCAAUGGUUGUUGGUGUCGUUGCAUUUUAUUUCAAGUGUAUAAGAAGUGAGAGUUUAAAUAACCUUGUAAGAUCGUGUACUUGCUGUCCUGACCACACGCAGAAUAUCUUGGCCACUCUCAGUUCCCUGAAGUCCAUGUGCACAGAUACAAAUAUGGUGGUCAACGAACUACGUGGUAGGCUUCCUGCCAAUGCACAACCUUUGGUUUGGCCUAACCGCGGUCCUGCGCAUGGACUGUUGACGUCAAAAAACAAAGGAAAGCUUCAAAAAUCACGCAGCAUACGAGAGGAUAAUGGUCGCUCUGAAGCAAACGGGAUUCGACAGC